rnacentral:misc_RNA from 1 species
CAGGAUCGGGUUCAGCAGCGCGGGGUGGUGGAUCGCGAGGCGGCGCGCGUCGUUGAGCGCCUCGCAGGUCCUGACCCAGUCCUUGGAGUCCAGGUCCGCGACCAGCCCCGCGGCCUUGGCCUUGGGGCUGGCCGCCGCCUCCAGCUCCUCCGACGAGAUGUACUCCACGGCCUGCUCCGCCGCCGCGGCCGUGGCCCUUGGCGCCGAGUUCUCGUCGUUCCCCUUCUUCUUCUUGCCGCCACUCCCGGGGGAGGCGGCGGCCUUGGCGGCGGCGGCGGGGACGCCCACCUUAGCCACCUUCUUGGGCCGCUCCUCGACGGCGGCGGGCUUCGUAUUGUCGAGCGCGCGGAGUGCCAUGAGUUGCUGUCGCUAGCUUGCCAGAGGCGGAUGCUGUUGAUGGAAAUGGCGCUCGAGGAUAGGCGGCGGCGACUGAUGCUAGUGGAGACUGGAGAGUGGGGAAUGGAAGAAGAUGCAGCAGAGUUGCAAAUUUUAAACGCCGAGGGUGGGGAAUUAAUGGGCGGCUGUGUCUAACGGCUAUAAAUGUUUCAAACUCGGUGAACGUUGUGACGCUGCUGCUGUCUUUCUACCGUUGCCAUAAAUUCUGGUAAAACAAACGAUUUUAAAACACAAGGAAACACGUGCAAAAGUAC